rnacentral:rRNA from 1 species
GAUGAACGCUGGCGGCGUGCUUAACACAUGCAAGUCGAACGGAAAGGCCCAAGCUUGCUUGGGUACUCGAGUGGCGAACGGGUGAGUAACACGUGGGUGAUCUGCCCUGCACUUCGGGAUAAGCCUGGGAAACUGGGUCUAAUACCGGAUAGGACGAUGGUUUGGACGCCAUUGUGGAAAGUUUUUUCGGUGUGGGAUGAGCUCGCGGCCUAUCAGCUUGUUGGUGGGGUAAUGGCCUACCAAGGCGUCGACGGGUAGCCGGCCUGAGAGGGUGUACGGCCACAGUGGGACGGAGAUACGGCCCAGACUCCUACGGGAGGCAGCAGUGGGGAAUAUUGCACAAUGGGCGCAAGCCUGAUGCAGCGACGCCGCGUGGGGGAUGACGGCCUUCGGGUUGUAAACUCCUUUCGCUAGGGACGAAGCGUUUUUGUGACGGUACCUGGAGAAGAAGCACCGGCUAACUACGUG